CAAUGCCGCUAUGUAAACUGUAAGGUGGGUCUUAAAUUAGUGUGAGUUAUUUUGGCACCGGACUCAACCUUCACGUUACAAUAUUUAAAGUAUUGCGCUGUCAUAGUAACGAAAAUGAUAAACACGUCAAUCGGAGUAAACAAGUAACUAAAUGAUGCAAACAAGAAAAUAUUGCAAAAUAGGUACAUAUAUAUGUACCGAUAAUUAUUUUGUGUUAAAAAUAUGAGGCAAAUUAUACUGCCCGAUUAUACGGACUACAUAUUAAAAACGAUUAUCUUGGAAACAGUCAAUAGAUGUCGAACCACCAGCAAAGUUUUUGAAGAGGUGUAGUUCCUGGUACCAACUGGAAACUGAAACUAAUAAUCUACACUCAAGAAAAUGAAAUAUAGUCACAGAAAACUUUAAUGUUUUAUUUUAUUAAAGAAAAACGUUAAAAAAAUGUGUAAACAGAAAUAUAUAUUUUUUAAUUCGUA